AUGCGGAACUGUUAUGCCUUGCUCCGGCGAAGGAGGAAGCUUUUCCUUGUAACGCACAUGUAUUGGAUUCUGGUUUGUUUACCAGCUAACUCAGCAUCAGGCUAGCUUGCUGGUUUUUUGAAGAAUGAAAGAGGAAGAAAGUAAGUUUCGCUUCUUUAAAAUCAAAACGCAAAAAUGCCUAUCACUUAGUUUAUUUUGACACACCAGUAUGCCAUAAUUACAUAUCUGACGUUCGUCAAAGACAUCAGAUUUACGCAGUAGCGUUAAGUUACCUUGUGAUUAGCUAUCUAUAUACCCUAGCUAUCUACCAUAAUACCAUCAGAUGUGUCAGGUGUUUCCUGUAUUUAUCAUGGACACCUCAGAUAGAGUAGGUGCUGAUCCUGAUACCGUUAGUGAGGAUAAGGAACGUUUGGGCAAAGAGUAGAUAAUUCUACACAGCUAUCAUAGAGUCCCUCCUCACAUCAUCCAUCACCAUCUGGUUUGGUUCCUCCACCUUACAAGAACGAGCCAAAUUCCAGCGCAGGACAGCGCAGAGGAUGAUUGGAUGUAGUCUCCCAAAGCUUCAGGAUGCUACAACAACAUGGUGAUGAAGCAUGCUGCCUUAUUUAAAUAACUUUUAAAGGCAUGACCGAACAGGAGGACUUGUCAUGACGUCUGGUACCUGCUCGCCCACUGCCGACAUCACCCAUCAACUCACACCCUCCUACUAUCGCCUUCGGCUCUGCCUCUUUACGCUUGCCUUGCCUUUCUCUUCUCAUCCUUUGGGAGAAAUGCAACCAAAGCCACAUGUGCAGUGUCACAGCAGAACAUGAUGCAAUUCUCCAUUCCUCAGUGGAAAGCCACUGAACGUGUUCACCAGCACCACCAGGAAGAAUUUACUUUACUGGAAGCACCCCGCUGAUGAAAUGAAGAACCUUUCCAUUUCGUAGGUUUGCCUCAGAAGAUCUGAUGUAGGAGACAUAUAAUAUGAGCUUUAUACUUCAAACAGUAAGCUUUCUUAUACGUCCAGGAUUGUUGGAGACACAGAGCCCUACACUAAACUUGGCUGUAAAGGUUUCUGCAUUGGCAACCUGAAGAAACUCUCUCGCAAUAUCAUAUUUUCCUAUGACCUCCACCUAGUUUGUAAUGGCAUGAUUGGAGAGGUGAGAGAGCAGCAUUGUGCAGCUUUGCUCAUGUCACUGUCUUUUGAUGUUCUUAGCCUAGAGUAUCAGAUUUUUGUCUACAUAAUUACAAAAGUACAUAUGUAGCAAGGUUCCUUAAUGAGUUCCUAAUCUUAUGAAAAGAUCAUUACUCAGAUGAAAAGGCAUGUGUUACGCAUGCAGUGCGCUCUUGGUCCAGUCUGGGAUUUUGGACUUUCUGUGCACCUGGUUACUGGAUCUGCCCUACUUUAAGUGAUUUCUGUGGCCCAUAUAAGGAUCCUGCUGGAAGAAGGUGGUUGUUUGCCCAUGCUCAUACUAGAGUCGGCAGAACAGUGUGUGAGUUGUGGGUUUGGUUUUUAAUGUUCUUGGCUGUGCUCACCUUGUCUUGUGAUGUCCCCAGUCAUCUUGUGUAGGUGUAGAUCUGUACGUGAGCAUUCACUGUCUUCUGUUUAUCAUUGUGAUCCCUGUGAUAGACUAAAGUGUAUGUUCUAGUGUAUGUUUAUGUAUAUAGUGACUGAUUGUAGGAAGUGGUGCCUGUUUGUUUGGGGUUAUUGUCUGUUUAUUGUCAGGGAGUUGGUGUAAGAUUUGUUUGAAGCUGACCGUAGCCUGGGCGUAACUUUGGACAACUGGUUGUCAUUCUCAACUCAUGUUUCUAAUCUAACCCGGUCUUGCAGA